rnacentral:rRNA from 1 species
AGAGUUUGAUCCUGGCUCAGAUUGAACGCUGCGGCAGGCUAACACAUGCAAGUCGAGCGGAAACGAGUUAACUGAACUUCGGGGAACGUUAACGGCGUCGAGCGGCGGACGGGUGAGUAAUGCCUGGGAAAUUGCCUGAUGUGGGGGAUAACCAUUGGAAACGAUGGCUAAUACCGCAUGAUAGCUUCGGCUCAAAGAGGGGGACUUUCGGGCCUCUCGCGUCAGGAUAUGCCCAGGUGGGAUUAGCUAGUUGGUGAGGUAAUGGCUCACCAAGGCGACGAUCCCUAGCUGGUCUGAGAGGAUGAUCAGCCACACUGGAACUGAGACACGGUCCAGACUCCUACGGGAGGCAGCAGUGGGGAAUAUUGCACAAUGGGCGCAAGCCUGAUGCAGCCAUGCCGCGUGUAUGAAGAAGGCCUUCGGGUUGUAAAGUACUUUCAGCAGUGAGGAAGGUGGGUAUGUUAAUAGCAUACUCAUUUGACUUUAGCUGCAGAAGAAGCACCGGCUAACUCCGUGCCAGCAGCCGCGGUAAUACGGAGGGUGCGAGCGUUAAUCGGAAUUACUGGGCGUAAAGCGCAUGCAGGUGGUUUGUUAAGUCAGAUGUGAAAGCCCGGGGCUCAACCUCGGAAUUGCAUUUGAAACUGGCAAACUAGAGUACUGUAGAGGGGGGUAGAAUUUCAGGUGUAGCGGUGAAAUGCGUAGAGAUCUGAAGGAAUACCGGUGGCGAAGGCGGCCCCCUGGACAGAUACUGACACUCAGAUGCGAAAGCGUGGGGAGCAAACAGGAUUAGAUACCCUGGUAGUCCACGCCGUAAACGAUGUCUACUUGGAGGUUGUGGCCUUGAGCCGUGGCUUUCGGAGCUAACGCGUUAAGUAGACCGCCUGGGGAGUACGGUCGCAAGAUUAAAACUCAAAGGAAUUGACGG